rnacentral:rRNA from 1 species
GACAGAGGUGCCGAGCGUUAGGCGGAAUCACUGGGCUUAAAGCGUGUGUAGGCGGAUCGUUAAGUACCUUGUGAAAUCCCACGGCUCAACCGUGGAACUGCUGGGUAUACUGGCGGUCUUGAGCCACCUAGGGGCGAGCGGAACAAGCGGUGGAGCGGUGAAAUGCGUAGAUAUCUGGAGGAAUACCGGUGGCGAAGGCGGCAUCCUGGACCGACAUUGACGCUGAACGGCGAAAGCUAGGGGAGCAAACGGG